AAUGGGCGCAAGCCUGAUCCAGCAAUGCCGCGUGCAGGAUGAAGGCCUUCGGGUUGUAAACUGCUUUUGUACGGAACGAAAAGCCCUGGGUUAAUACCCUGGGGUCAUGACGGUACCGUAAGAAUAAGCACCGGCUAACUACGUGCCAGCAGCCGCGGUAAUACGUAGGGUGCGAGCGUUAAUCGGAAUUACUGGGCGUAAAGCGUGCGCAGGCGGUUUUGUAAGACAGGCGUGAAAUCCCCGGGCUCAACCUGGGAACUGCCUUUGUGACUGCAAGGCUAGAGUACGGCAGAGGGGGAUGGAAUUCCGCGUGUAGCAGUGAAAUGCGUAGAUAUGCGGAGGAACACCGAUGGCGAAGGCAAUCCCCUGGGCCUGUACUGACGCUCAUGCACGAAAGCGUGGGGAGCAAACAGGAUUAGAUACCCUGGUAGUCCACGCCCUAAACGAUGUCAACUGGUUGUUGGGUCUUAACUGACUCAGUAACGAAGCUAACGCGUGAAGUUGACCGCCU
rnacentral:rRNA from 1 species